UUUCAUCAUCGGGAGCACAACAUCAUGCAGCAUGAUUUCAUUAGUCGAGGAAACUGAGGUAAAACUGAGGGAAAUAAGCGAUUAUCUACUGAAAUUAAAGUCAACCGAAGUCGAUAUUAAUCCGACUAUAAAAUGGAGGUUUCAGAGGUCAGAUAUCUUCAUCAGUCUUCAUCAGUUUGUGUCCGUAGUCAUUAUCAAAGAUCUCUUAUAAAGAGGCAGAAGAUCAGAACUGAAGCGACAAUCAUCAGACAUCCAACAGCAACACAACAGAUCACAACUAUAUGAUCUAAGCAUCUAUGGCUAUAUGGAGGGCAAUCUGACAUCUCCAGUUCAUUUGAUGUCUUUGGACUGUGAAAGGAAAUCGGAGCACACCCACGUUAACACAGGGAGAGAAUGCAAACUCAAAGGCCACCCGACCAGCCAGAGCUUGAACUCGCGAUCUUGUUGCUGUGAGGUAACCGUGCUACCCACUCUGCCACCAAAGUUGGUAUUUUAAAGCUUAGAAACGUAGCUGUAGUUUUAAACAAUUACAAAUUAUAUUUGCAUUUCUGCCUUUGCUAAUUAGAUUUUACUAAUUUUGGAGCCUUUAAUUUACAACAUUAAAAAUGAUGUCUUAGUUUAAUGCUUUCAUUUCAUUUAUUUACAAACAAAAUCUUUACAUUAG